UACAGAGGGGGCAAGCGUUGUUCGGAAUUACUGGGCGUAAAGGGCGCGUAGGCGGCCUGCUAAGUCGAACGUGAAAUCCCCGAGCUCAACUCGGGAACUGCGUCCGAUACUGGCAGGCUUGAAUCCGGGAGAGGGAUGCGGAAUUCCUGGUGUAGCGGUGAAAUGCGCAGAUAUCAGGAGGAACACCAAUGGCGAAGGCAGCUCGCUGGGACGUGACUGACGCUGAGACGCGAAAGCGUGGGGAGCAAACAGG
rnacentral:rRNA from 1 species